UACGUAGGGUGCAAGCGUUAAUCGGAAUUACUGGGCGUAAAGCGUGCGCAGGCGGUUAUGUAAGACAGGUGUGAAACUCCCGGCUUAACCUGGGAACUGCAUUUGUGACUGCAUAGCUAGAGUACGGUAGAGGGGGAUGGAAUUCCGCGUGUAGCAGUGAAAUGCGUAGAUAUGCGGAGGAACACCGAUGGCGAAGGCAAUCCCCUGGACCUGUACUGACGCUCAUGCACGAAAGCGUGGGGAGCAAACAGG
rnacentral:rRNA from 1 species